rfam:Sarcophilus harrisii ctg7180001395257, whole genome shotgun sequence.
AAGCACAAAGGUUUGGUCCUGGCCCUACUGUUAAUUAUUAUUAUUAUUAGACCCACACAUGCAAGUUUCCGCAACCCAGUGAGUAUGCCCUUUUAACUUCCCUAGAGUAUAAAGGAGCUGGUAUCAGGCACACUUACACAAGCAGCCCAUGACACCUUGUUUAACCACACCCCCACGGGUUACAGCAGUGACUAACAUUGAGCUAUAAACGAAAAUUUGACUAAAUCAUAAUAAAUAAGGGUUGGUAAAUCUCGUGCCAGCCACCGCAGUCAUACGAUUAACCCGAAUUAACAGAAAAACGGCGUAAAGGGUGUUUAAGCAUAAAACCUAACAAAUAAAGUUAAAACUCAACUACGCUGUAAUACGCUCUAGUUGAUAUUAAAAUAUACAACUUAUGUGACUUUACCAAUGCUGAAGACACUAAAGCUAAGGUACAAACUGGGAUUAGAGACCCCACUAUGCUUAGCCGUAAACCUAGGUAAUUAAAUAACAAAAUUACUCGCCAGAGAACUACUAGCCACUGCUUAAAACUCAAAGGACUUGGCGGUGCCCUAGACCCUCCUAGAGGAGCCUGUUCUAUAAUCGAUAAACCCCGAUACACCUCACCCCUUCUCGCUUAGCAGUCUAUAUACCGCCAUCGUCAGCUCACCCCAAUAGGGUCCCAAAGUGAGCAAAAUCAUGAAACCAUAAAAACGUUAGGUCAAGGUGUAGCAUAUGAAGGGGGAAGCAAUGGGCUACAUUUUCUAUAUUAGAACAUAACGGAUUGUCUACUGAAAUAAAGACAUGAAGGAGGAUUUAGUAGUAAAUUAAGAAUAGAGAGCUUAAUUGAAAUAGGCAAUAGGGUGGGUACACACCGCCCGUCACCCUCCUCGAUAAAGUAACCUUCAAUACCUAAUUAGAAUACCUCAAAAAGAGGAGAAAAGUCUUAACAUGGUAAGUGUACUGGAAAGUGCACUUGGACAAUCAAAAUG